AUGGUUUGCGGGAAAACUCUUCUCUCUCUGGUCUCACUACGAGUCCUUCUAGAAGUAAAUAAAGUAAAUGCUUAUUCAACUACGGCACUGUCGGACAACCGACCGGAUUCAAGCCCUAGCCCCUCAACUCGGACGGACUUGUGGAAAUCCUCGAAAACAAGUAUUGCUCAACUCACCUAUCUAUAA
rnacentral:rRNA from 1 species